rnacentral:rRNA from 1 species
CCUACGUGCGGCAGCAGUGGGGAAUAUUGCACAAUGGGGGAAACCCUGAUGCAGCGACGCCGCGUGAAGGAAGAAGUAUUUCGGUAUGUAAACUUCUAGCAGCAGGGAAGAAAAUGACGGUACCUGACUAAGAAGCCCCGGCUAACUACGUGCCAGCAGCCGCGGUCAUACGUAGGGGGCAAGCGUUAUCCGGAUUUACUGGGUGUAAAGGGAGCGUAGGCGGUGAUGCAAGUCAGAAGUGAAAGCCGGAAGCUCAACUGCGGGACUGCUUUUGAAACUGUAUGACUAGAUUGCAGGAGAGGUAAGUGGAAUUCCUAGUGUAGCGGUGAAAUGCGUAGAUAUUAGGAGGAACACCAGUGGCGAAGGCGGCUUACUGGACUGUAAAUGACGCUGAGGCUCGAAAGCGUGGGGAGCAAACAGGAUUAGAUACCCCUGUAGUC